rnacentral:lncRNA from 1 species
CGCCAGGAAAGGAGUGGAAAAAAGUGGGCGAGGAGGAGCGUUGAAAAUUUCCUGACAAGUAGUUUCCGUGCGCCCGAGAGCGUGUGAAUUGCUCCUAAUUACCGUGUCCGAUUCUCUUAAACUCAGGACGCGCAUCGGUCUGUCCGACCUUCCCGGCAAGAGACAAAGUCACUGCUGGGAGGCCCCCUCGGACAGUUUUCAGUUUUAACUUUCGCCUUAUUCUCGUCUUGUCUUGAUGUCACGGCCCUGAGGAACAGCUCGUUCUGCAGAAGAGGUAACAGGUUUCAGAUUUUGUUUCCUUUUUGAAAGGCUGUUGCCUUUCAAACAUCUGGAAUUAAUGCCGCGGCCCUCGGGCGAGUCGCCCUCGGUUUCUGUAGCUCUGAUUUUAUCUCUGUGUCUUUUCCCCUCUAAUUUCUAAAGUUCUGUUUUUCCCUCUAAUUCUG